rnacentral:rRNA from 1 species
CCUACGGGUGGCAGCAGUGAGGAAUAUUGGUCAAUGGACGAGAGUCUGAACCAGCCAAGUAGCGUGAAGGAUGACUGCCCUAUGGGUUGUAAACUGCUUUUAUAAAGGAAUAAAGCUAGGCACGUGUGCCUUUUUGUAUGUACUUUAUGAAUAAGGAUCGGCUAACUCCGUGCCAGCAGCCGCGGUAAUACGGAGGAUCCGAGCGUUAUCCGGAUUUAUUGGGUUUAAAGGGAGCGUAGACGGGUUGUUAAGUCAGAUGUGAAAGUUGAGGGCUCAACCGCAGAACUGCAUUGAAUACUGGCAGUCUAGAGUGCAGUUGAGGUAGGCGGAAUUCCUGGUGUAGCGGUGAAAUGCUUAGAUAUUACGCAGAACCCCGAUUGCGAAGGCAGCUUACUAAACUGUAACUGACGUUGAGGCUCGAAAGCGUGGGGAGCAAACAGGAUUAGAUACCCGAGUAGUC